GUGGGUAUAGCUCAGUGGCAGAGUGUGUGCUUAGCAUGCACAAGGUCCUGGGUUCAAUCCCCAGUGCCUCCA
rnacentral:tRNA from 1 species